AUUGAACGCUGGCGGCAGGCCUAACACAUGCAAGUCGAACGAGUGGCGGACGGGUGAGUAAUGUCUGGGAAACUGCCUGAUGGAGGGGGAUAACUACUGGAAACGGUAGCUAAUACCGCAUACCAUCAGAUGUGCCCAGAUGGGAUUAGCUAGUUGGUGGGGUAACGGCUCACCAAGGCGACGAUCCCUAGCUGGUCUGAGAGGAUGACCGGCCACACUGGAACUGAGACACGGUCCAGCCUCCUACGGAGGGCGGCAGUGGGGAAUUUUGCACAAGGGGCGAAAUCCUGAUGCAGCCAUGCCGCGUAUAUGAGAAAGGCCUUCGGGUUGUAAAGUACUUUCAGCGGGGAGGCGUUACCCGCAGAAGAAGCACCGGCUAACUCAGUGCCAGCAGCCGCGGUAAUUC
rnacentral:rRNA from 1 species